AUUGAACGCUGGCGGCAUGCCUUACACAUGCAAGUCGAACGGCAGCGCGGGCUUCGGCCUGGCGGCGAGUGGCGAACGGGUGAGUAAUACAUCGGAACGUGCCCUAGAGUGGGGGAUAACUAGUCGAAAGAUUAGCUAAUACCGCAUACGAUCUACGGAUGAAAGUGGGGGACCGCAAGGCCUCAUGCUCCUGGAGCGGCCGAUGUCUGAUUAGCUAGUUGGUGGGGUAAAAGCCUACCAAGGCGACGAUAAGUAGCUGGUCUGAGAGGACGACCAGCCACACUGGGACUGAGACACGGCCCAGACUCCUACGGGAGGCAGCAGUGGGGAAUUUUGGACAAUGGGGGAAACCCUGAUCCAGCAAUGCCGCGUGUGUGAAGAAGGCCUUCGGGUUGUAAAGCACUUUUGUCAGGAACGAAACGUUGGGGGCUAAUAUCCUCUGCUAAUGACGGUACCUGAAGAAUAAGCACCGGCUAACUACGUGCCAGCCGCCGCCGUAA
rnacentral:rRNA from 1 species